ensembl:misc_RNA Y_RNA Y RNA
GACUUGUUAGUAGGUAGUGAGUUAUCUCAAUUGAGUAUUCAGUCAGUUACAGAUUUGACUCCUUGUUUUACAUUUUCCCCUCUUCUCACUACUGCAUUUGGUUAGUGUUUU